rnacentral:rRNA from 1 species
CAGUAGCCGCGGUAAUACGAAGGGGGCUAGCGUUGCUCGGAAUUACUGGGCGUAAAGGGCGCGUAGGCGGACAGUUCAGUCGGGGGUGAAAGCCCGGGGCUCAACCUCGGAAUUGCCUUCGAUACUGGCUGUCUUGAGUAUGAGAGAGGUAAGCGGAACUGCGAGUGUAGAGGUGAAAUUCGUAGAUAUUCGCAAGAACACCAGUGGCGAAGGCGGCUUACUGGCUCGAAACUGACGCUGAGGCGCGAAAGCGUGGGGAGCAAACAGGAUUAGAUACCCCGGUAGUCCCUGUCUCUUAUAA